rnacentral:snRNA from 1 species
AUACUAAACAGGCAGAGGAGAUAUGAUUAUGUAGGUAAUUUUCCCAGAUCAGGGCUUACCCAUUGUAUUCCAGAAUAUGCUGACAUAUGGUUGAUGUGGGAAACUCAACUAUAUAAUUUGUGCUAGUGGAAGGACUGCAUUCAAGGCCUCCCA